GUUGUACCAGUCUGCAAUCCCACCAACAAUGGAGGAGUGUUCCUCUUUCUCCACAUCCUCGCCAGCAUCUGCUGUCACCUGAGUUUUUUAUCUUAGCCAUUCUCACUGGUGUGAGGUGGAAUCUCAGGGUUCUUUUGAUUUGCAUUUCCCUGAUGACUAAGGAUGUUGAACAUUUCUUUAGGUGCUUUUCUGCUUUCGAUAUUUCUCAGCUGAGGAUGCUUUGUUUUGCUCUGUACCCCAAUUUUUUUGGGGUUAUUUGGUUCUCUGGAGUCUAUCUUUUUGAGUUCUUUGUAUAUGUUGGAUAUUAGCCCUCUAUCAGUUGUAGGAUUGGUAAAGAUCUUUUCCCAAUCUGUAGGUUGCCAUUUUGUCCUAAUGACAGUAUCUUUUACCUUACAGAAGCUUUGCAGGUUUAUAAGGUUCCAUUUGUUGAUUCUUGAUCUUAGAGCGGAAGCCAUUGUUGUUUUCAGGAAAAUUUCCCCAGUGCCCAUGUGUUUGAAACUCUUCCCCAUUCUUUCUUCUAUUAGUCUGAAUGUGUCUGGUUUGAUGUGGAUGUCCUUGAUCCACUUGGACUGAAACUUUGUACAUGGUGAUAAGAUUGAAUCGAUUUGCUUCAUCUACAUGCUCACCUCCAGUUAAACCAGCACCAUUUGUGGAAAAUGCUCUUUCUUUGAACCAGCACCAUUUGUUGAAAAUGUUCUUUCUUUGAACCAGCUCCAUUUGUUAUAAUGCUAUCUUUCUUCCAUUGGAUGGUUUUAGUAUGUCCAAUACAGAGGUCAAUGCAAGCAGCAAAUCACUGAACUUAGAAGAGGACCCUGAAGUGAUGGAGAAGAGUAGCAGAGAUGCCCUGGGCCAUCAGGAGAAGCUGAAAGCUGAGCAUGGCCGCAGAGCCAAGCGUCUCACCCUAAAGCUUGGAGAGGCAGAGCAGGAGCGGAUUCUCGAGGAGGAAGGUCAGGUCCAUGCCCUUCUCUGAGUCCUGAAGUGCAGAGAUUGGAGAAGGGGGCCUCCAG
ensembl:lncRNA